AUAAAGCGGAGGAAAGAAACCAACUGGGAUUACCUUAGUAACGGCGAGUGAAGCGGUAAAAGCUCAAAUUUGAAAUCUGGUACUUUCAGUGCCCGAGUUGUAAUUUGUAGAAUUUGUCUUUGAUUAGGUCCUUGUCUAUGUUCCUUGGAACAGGACGUCAUAGAGGGUGAGAAUCCCGUUUGGCGAGGAUACCUUUUCUCUGUAAGACUUUUUCGAAGAGUCGAGUUGUUUGGGAAUGCAGCUCAAAGUGGGUGGUAAAUUCCAUCUAAAGCUAAAUAUUGGCGAGAGACCGAUAGCGAACAAGUACAGUGAUGGAAAGAUGAAAAGAACUUUGAAAAGAGAGUGAAAAAGUACGUGAAAUUGUUGAAAGGGAAGGGCAUUUGAUCAGACAUGGUGUUUUUUGCAUGCACUCGCCUCUCGUGGGCUUGGGCCUCUCAAAAAUUUCACUGGGCCAACAUCAAUUCUGGCAGUAGGAUAAAUCAUUAAGAAUGUAGCUACCUCGGUAGUGUUAUAGCUUAUUGGAAUACUGCUAGCUGGGAUUGAGGACUGCGCUUCGGCAAGGAUGUUGGCAUAAUGGUUAAAUGCCGCCCGUCU
rnacentral:rRNA from 1 species